AUCCGGAGCCUCCGGGUGCGCCGCAGGCUCCUUCCACUGCAUCCGGGAAACUGCCUCGCCCUCUCCGGCCCCUGACUUCCGCUUCCUCAUUUGUGAAAUGGAGGUAAUGGUACCUGCCUCACACCGCCAGGAAAUCCUGCUGAGAGGAUUUCUCGUUAGAGACUGGAUGCAGAGAGCCUGGCAUAGAAUAAGUGUUCGAUCGCUGCUGGUGUCGAUGUCCGGGAAGGUGAACCAGUUAUGGGAAUCCUAUUUUCCUUUACUAAAGAUUAAGAGAAGAGUGGGUGUGCGGGGAAUUCCCUGGCGGUCUGGUGGUUAGGACUCCGCGCUUCCACUGCAGGGGGCACGGGUUCGAUGCCUGGUCGGGAAACUAAGAUCCUGCAAGCCGAGCACUGCCAAAAAAAAAAAAAAAGAAAGAAAAAAAAGUGACCUGGAAACUACCAACUAGAAUAUAUCAAAACUCCAUUCCUGGUGGCUCAACAGUCCUGGAGACAGAGGAGCUCAUGGUAUGCUCAGACUCUGGAAUCAGUCAGUCCUGUGUUUUAACCCUGUUUUAACCCAGCAAAGGAGCAGUGUGAGCUGGGGCAAGUGACAUCACCUCUCCGAGCCGCUUUAGAUCUGUCUAGAGUGCAAGAGGGAUUCAAGCCAUAAUUAUAUCCCUUAUAAUACUCAGCACAUUGCCUGGCGCACACUGCCUGGCGCACAUUGCCUGGCGCACGUGGGGAUUCAUUAAGUGAUUGUUAAAAAAAUUAAUGAAUGGGACUUCCCGGGUGGCGCAGUGGUUAAGAAUCUGCCUGCCAAUGCAGGGGACAUGGGUUCAAGCCCUGGUCCGGGAGGAUCCCACAUGCCGCGGAGCAACUAAGCCUGCGAGCCACAACUACUGAGCCCACGUGCCACAACUACUGAAGCCCGCGCGCCUAGAGCCCGUGCUCCACAACAGGAGAAGCCACUGCAAUGAGAAGCACGCGCACUGCAACGAAGAGUAGCCCCCACUCGCCGCAACUAGAGAAAGCCCGCGUGCAGCAACAAAGACCCAACA